rnacentral:rRNA from 1 species
UACAGAGGGUGCAAACGUUGUUCGGAAUUACUGGGCGUAAAGCGCGUGUAGGCUGCUCAGAAAGUCGGAUGUGAAAGCCCUGGGCUUAACCUAGGAAGUGCAUUCGAAACUUCUGAGCUUGAGUUCUGGAGAGGAAGGCGGAAUUCUCGGUGUAGAGGUGAAAUUCGUAGAUAUCGAGAGGAACACCGGUGGCGAAGGCGGCCUUCUGGACAGUGACUGACGCUGAGACGCGAAAGCCAGGGGAGCAAACGGG